GGCAGUAGCUCAGUUGGUAGAGCAUCAGCUUCCCAAGCUGAGGGUCACGGGUUCGAGUCCCGCUUGCC
rnacentral:tRNA from 6 species